rnacentral:lncRNA from 1 species
CUUCCGGGGUCCAAACCGCUCCGUAAGUCCGCUACUCCCACCCUUCCUAGUGGUCGGCUCGGUUCCGAUUGGCAGCCUGUCUGGGACUGGCACGGUGAUCACAGAGUUGGAGGGCGGGGUGAGAGGUGUACGUCUGCGUUUGCGUCUCCGCCUUUUGCGGGCUUGCGUGCGUGUACGGGGGGCGGGGAUUGUCACUGUGCUUUUUCUCCGAGUUGUUCAACGCUGCUGACUGCCCAGAAGUGGCUUCGUAGCUGCUCCGGUCAGUGGCGAGGUUAGGUUCAGUCGCUGGUUGUGCGGCGUGACCGUGCUGUCUUCACGUUGAGCUCUUUCCGUCUUGUUUAGCCUUCAGUCUGGAGCUUGUGGUUCCACACCGUCAGUCGCACCAAUUCGUGUAAAGUGCAGAGAGAGGUCUCUGGGAUUGUUUGAUAGAGAGAGAACUCCGACUAUAAAAUCGAGUGGGAAAUAGUGAACGUGUCAUCAAAACAAAGUCCAUGGGCAGAGCAGAUCGGGCCUGUUCCAUUUACUGGGUCACAGACACCAUAAAGUGACAGGUGCGGCCCAGGUAAAAUGGAAAUUGCACCACCCAACGUGACACCGAACCGAAGAAGGAAACCAGCAGAUGAGGAUGGCGGGAACAGCACCUGUGAGGAUGUGCAGUCUGGGAGUGGUCAGCAGGAACGAUUGUGAGCACACUGGCCAUGUGAGGUACAAUGGCAACGUCUCUACCUGUACGCAUGUCUGCUGGGCUUUACAUAUCUGCUUUGUGUCUCCUCUCCAUGUGGCCACUGUGCAUCAUGUAUUGCCAACUGUAAAACAAAUAAAUAAAUAAAUUUAAAAUAACAAGUGUUUAUUGCCACAUGCAUGUAGUGUGCCAAUCCAUCAGCCUGUCUCCCGAAGAAAGAGCUCCCUCAGACCCUCCAGUCUUCCGCCUGUAGCCCCUCACUCCUGUCAGAUGACCAGGGAGGUCUGUAAUCUGCAGGAGGGGAUUAAAGGGAUUAAAGUGGAUCUGGAAACCAUCAGUGUGUGGCGGCAUAGCAGGGAGAUGAGGAAGCCACUGACAAUCCAGAUUUGAAACAAGGACCCCGAAAAUAAAACCUUUUGAUACCUAUAAAGUGUUGUUCA